UCUACGGGUGGCAGCAGUGGGGAAUAUUGGGCAAUGGGCGCAAGCCUGACCCAGCAACGCCGCGUGAAGGAAGAAGGCUUUCGGGUUGUAAACUUCUUUUGUCAGGGACGAAGCAAGUGACGGUACCUGACGAAUAAGCCACGGCUAACUACGUGCCAGCAGCCGCGGUAAUACGUAGGUGGCAAGCGUUAUCCGGAUUUACUGGGUGUAAAGGGCGUGUAGGCGGGACUGCAAGUCAGAUGUGAAAACCACGGGCUCAACCUGUGGCCUGCAUUUGAAACUGUAGGUCUUGAGUACUGGAGAGGAGAGUGGAAUUCCAGGUGUAGGAGUGAAAUCCGUAGAUAUCUGGAGGAACAUCAGUGGCGAAGGCGACUAUCUGGCACAUAACUGACGCUGAGGAGCGAAAGCGUGGGUAGCAAACAGGAUUAGAUACCCCUGUAGUC
rnacentral:rRNA from 1 species